GACGAACGCUGGCGGCGUGCUUAACACAUGCAAGUCGAACGAUGAAGCCGGAGCUUGCUCUGGUGAAUUAGUGGCGAACGGGUGAGUAACACGUGAGUAACCUGCCCUUGACUCUGGGAUAACUGCGGGAAACUGUAGCUAAUACCGGAUACGACCCUCGGAGGCAUCUCCUGGGGGUGGAAAGAAUUUCGGUCAAGGAUGGACUCGCGGCCUAUCAGCUAGUUGGUGAGGUAAUGGCUCACCAAGGCGACGACGGGUAGCCGGCCUGGGAGGGUGACCGGCCACACUGGGACUGAGACACGGCCCAGACUCCUACGGGAGGCAGCAGUGGGGAAUAUUGCACAAUGGGCGCAAGCCUGAUGCAGCAACGCCGCGUGAGGGAUGACGGCCUUUGGGUUGUAAACCUCUUUUAGCAGGGAAGAAGCGAAAGUGACGGUACCUGCAGAAAAAGCACCGGCUAACUACGUGCCAGCCGCCGCCGUAA
rnacentral:rRNA from 1 species